rnacentral:rRNA from 1 species
GUAGGUGGCAAGCGUUGUCCGGGAAUUAUUGGGCGUAAAGCGCGCGCAGGCGGUUCUUUAAGUCUGAUGUGAAAGCCCACGGGCUCAACCGUGGAGGGUCAUUGGAAACUGGAGAACUUGAGUACAGAAGAGGAAAGCGGAAUUCCACGUGUAGCGGUGAAAUGCGUAGAGAUGUGGAGGAACACCAGUGGCGAAGGCGGCUUUCUGGUCUGUAACUGACGCUGAGGCGCGAAAGCGUGGGGAGCAAACAGGAUUAGAUACUCUGGUAGUCCACGCCGUAAACGAUGAGUGCUAAGUGUUAGGGGGUUUCCGCCCCUUAGUGCUGCAGCUAACGCAUUAAGCACUCCGCCUGGGGAGUACGGCCGCAAGGCUG